UGGUGCCUUCGGGAACUGUGAGACAGGUGCUGCAUGGCUGUCGUCAGCUCGUGUUGUGAAAUGUUGGGUUAAGUCCCGCAACGAGCGCAACCCUUAUCCUUUGUUGCCAGCGAUUAGGUCGGGAACUCAAAGGAGACUGCCAGUGAUAAACUGGAGGAAGGUGGGGAUGACGUCAAGUCAUCAUGGCCCUUACGACCAGGGCUACACACGUGCUACAAUGGCGCAUACAAAGAGAAGCGACCUCGCGAGAGCAAGCGGACCUCAUAAAGUGCGUCGUAGUCCGGAUUGGAGUCUGCAACUCGACUCCAUGAAGUCGGAAUCGCUAGUAAUCGUGGAUCAGAAUGCCACGGUGAAUACGUUCCCGGGCCUUGUACACACCGCCCGUCACACCAUGGGAGUGGGUUGCAAAAGAAGUAGGUAGCUUAACCUUCGGGAGGGCGCUUACCACUUUGUGAUUCAUGACUGGGGUGAAGUCGUAACAAGGUAACCGUAGGGGAACCUGCGGUUGGAUCACCUCCUUACCUUAAAGAA
rnacentral:rRNA from 3 species